CCUACGGGAGGCAGCAGUGAGGAAUAUUGGUCAAUGGCCGUAAGGCUGAACCAGCCAAGUAGCGUGAGGGAUGACUGCCCUACGGGUUGUAAACCUCUUUUAUACGGGGAUAGAGUGAGGCACGUGUGGAUGUUUGUAGGUACUGUAUGAAUAAGGAUCGGCUAAUUCCGUGCCAGCAGCCGCGGUAAUACGGAGGGUCCGGGCGUUAUCCGGAUUUAUUGGGUUUAAAGGGAGCGUAGGCGGGUUGUUAAGUGUGCUGUGAAAGUUUGCGGCUCAACCGUAAGAUUGCAAUUGGUACUGGCAGUCUUGAGUACACUUGAGGUAGGCGGAAUUCGUGGUGUAGCGGUGAAAUGCUUAGAUAUCACGAAGAACCCCGAUUGCGAAGGCAGCUUACCACAGCGUUACUGACAUUGAUGCUCGAAAGUGUGGGUAUCAAACAGGAUUAGAUACCCCAGUAGUC
rnacentral:rRNA from 1 species